rnacentral:lncRNA from 1 species
CCCCGACGUCCUCGAUUGCAUCGCGGGAACGAAGGAGCCGCGUCGAGCCUCUACUUCCCCAUCAUUUCCGAGCUCGCCAUCGACUCGCAACCGACGUCGUGCUCGCCGCCAUCUCCGUCAUAGCUAGGUGAGAAACCACGACCCUGUUCCCUCUCGUGAGGCCAUUCCAAUGCGUAGCACGCCUCCUCGUAGCGUAGCGCCAUUGCUGGUUGUCGUGCCCGUGCGAUUCGCCGGCGCCAUCGCAGUUCGUUCCACCUCCGUGCAUCGCAGGUACGGCUGAGGUCCAAAAUGGAUCCCCACUGUAUUCCGCGUACCCAUAGCCACGCGUGCGCCCUGAUGGUCGUUGGAGACCUUGCCGGCGCCAUUGCUUGCCUCUCUGCCGCGAGCAGAGGAAAGGUAGAGCAUUUCCGUACGAUAAGUGGAGUGGCGCUCCUCUUCUAGCAGAUCCCAGGCCGUACCACACGCGUAGAUUAAAAUCUCCCUAUUUUACUUGUUGUGUGAUAGGCUGUGGUAGUGGGCCUCGGCCCACUUGUCAUCCUCUUCGGGCCUCAUGUCUAUGCCAGUGGGACCCCUCCUUCUAUGUAUUUUUGUGUGUUUUAUUUCAUUUAGAUUCCUUUCCUUUUGGCGAAAUGUCCAAAUCUGGACAUGGUCAUAUUUGGCAACUACCAAUUUGGGCAAGUAUUGACUUAUAACUCAUAUGUGGAUUUUGUUAUCUAUUUUGUGGUGAUUUUUCUCUAAGUAACAUAAGAGUGUGGCAUAUGAUUUGGGGUAGAAAAAUACUACGAAUUGAGUGGUGCCAUUAGUUUUACCAUUGGAGCAACUUUGUGAAAAUGACAUUUUAUGAUAAGAUGCCAUUUUAUUAUUUUUGCAUGAUUUAAUCCUUGCACUAUUUGGUAAUCUUGUCAACAUGAAUGUGGUAGAGUUUUAAGGGUACUAGACCCUGGUAUUUUUCUUUGCCAUGAUAAGAUUGUGGAUUUUUGGGCUUCUUGUUGUAAACAUCCUAAGAAAAUAGUGUUGUUUCACAUGCUCAAAUAUUUCUAACUAUAGAAUCUCGUUAUUUUGUUGCUAUGUUAUCUUGAUGAUUCCCAUGAAUAGGUUGUUCCUUUGAGGUUGGCCUAGUGCCAUGCAUCAUACUGAUACGUCUCCAACGUAUCUAUAAUUUUUGAUUGUUCCAUGCUAUUAUAUUAUCAACUUGGGAUGUUUUAUAUGCAUUUAUAUGCUAUUUUAUAUCAUUUUUGGGACUAACCUAUUAACUAAGUUCCCAGUGACAGUUUCUGUUUUUUCCGUGUUUUUGACCUUUUCCACAUAAGAAUAUUAAACGGAGUCCAAACGGAAUAAAACCUUCGGGAUGAUUUUUUCCAUAACAGAAGGGAUCCAGAAGACUUGAGAACCAAGGCAGAGGCCACGGAGGAGGCCACGAUCCCCCUAGGCGCGCCCUAGGGGGGCGCCUAGCAGGCUCGUGGGCCCCCCGUGCCUCCUUUGCCCUACCUCUUUCGCCUAUAAAU